rnacentral:rRNA from 1 species
GCCUACGGGUGGCUGCAGGCGCGCAACCUUCUCAAUGCACGCAAGUGUGAAGAGGGGAUUCUGAGUGUUUAUGCUUUUAGCAUAAACUUUUGAUCAGUUUAAAAAGCUGGUAGAAUAAGAGCUGGGAAAGACGGGUGCCAGCCGCCGCGGUAAUACCCGCGGUCCAAGUCGCAGCCAUUAUUAUUGGGUAUAAAACAUCCGUAGCUUGCUUGAUAAGUCCCCUGUGAAAUCCUGUAUCUAAAAUGCAGGGCGUGCGGGGGGUACUGUUGAGCUAGAGACUGGAAGACGUAAGAAGUACGUUCGGAGUAGCGGUAAAAUGUGUUAAUCCCGGACGGACUAACAAGAGCGAAGGCAUCUUACGAGGACAGUUCUGACAGUGAGGGAUGAAAGCCAGGGGCGCAAAACGGAUUAGAUACCCGUGUAGUC